ACCUGCGGAAGGAUCAUUAUUGAAAUAAACCUGAUGGGUUGCUGCUGGUUCUCUAGGGAGCAUGUGCACACCUUGUCAUCUUUAUAUCUCCACCUGUGCACUUUUUGUAGACCUUUCAGGUCUAUGUUGCUUCAUUUACCCCAAUGUAUGUUAAUAGAAUGUUGUGCCUAUAUAAUAUAUACAACUUUCAGCAACGGAUCUCUUGGCUCUCGCAUCGAUGAAGAACGCAGCGAAAUGCGAUAAGUAAUGUGAAUUGCAGAAUUCAGUGAAUCAUCGAAUCUUUGAACGCACCUUGCGCUCCUUGGUAUUCCGAGGAGCAUGCCUGUUUGAGUGUCAUUAAUAUAUCAACCUUCUCUUUUUUGAGUUGUUUGGAUGUGGGGGUUUGCUGGCCUCUUAAAUGAUUCAGCUCCCCUGAAAUGCAUUAGCAGAACAACCUGUUCAUUGGCGUGAUAAUUAUCUAUGCUAUUGAAUGUGAGGGGCAGUUCAGCUUUCUAACCGUCCUCGGACAAUUCAUCAUUAAUGUGACCUCAAAUCAGGUAGGACUACCCGCUGAACUUAA
rnacentral:rRNA from 1 species